AUCUGUCACACCCGGUUUUAGAAGGCAAACCGAAUGCGAACCAUGUACGUGUCAGGAUCAGCAAUUCACGUACACAGCAGUUACAUAAUUGGACAUCAUCACACAGUGCUCAAAUAAUAACAUAAAAGGGGAAUAAUAGUCGAUUACAUCAUAAUGUCGGAGACAUCCACAUAGUCUUUAAUAAUAAUCAAAGUGCGAAAACGAAACGUAGAUACACGCGGCCUUCACAGGCAGCCGACUGGGGGUUGCCGCUAACCCACGCCUAGAACUCGUCGUAAUCUUGGAACUCCUGGAAGUCUCCUUCCACGGCUUCAUCUUCUUCUGAGCAGUGGUUGCAAUGCGGACAACCUGGGGAAGGGGGGGGGGGGGUUGGUGUGUAGAGCAAGGGUGAGUACACAUCAACAUACUCAGCAAGUGUCCUGUUUGGCUGUAGUGGACUAGCUCUAUAUGGGGAUAAGUCAAGCAGUUGCUUUUAGUUGGUCAGAUUAUUAUUACUAGUAAAGAGAGCCAGAUUUUAGUAUUAACCCAAGUUUUUAACCCAAAAGUACCCUUUCCAAACGGAAAGAAUACCACUUACCAUCACCAGAGUCAAUACCAAAACCACCAUUCUCAUCGUCACUUGUAAUCCGAACAUCUCUGAUCAAGUAUCACUAAUCAAUGGAGCUCCCUUGGUCGCUCAUAACCGCGAGCACGACUGAUAUAUCAGUUUUCAAACACUCUGCAGAAGUUGCGCACUUUACCCACAAGCCGUGAUUCCCUUUCUGCCCGGAGAUCAUGACUCUCCAUUGAUCACUACCAAGGUGACCCAGCAGGGUAUCACUACGUAGCCUUUACAAAGAUUCCCCGGGGCUGUAGCCGCCCGUUAGGUUUCCUAAAUGUACCGCACUACUCCCCAAGGGGCAAACCAACCUUGGUAGAGCGAGCCGCAUACACCGAGCCCCAUUAACGGCACGACGGUGAAGUAAACUACAUCCUGGUUCCUCUAAUUAUUCAGCUAAGGGCGUCCCAUUUCACCCUCAUGGUUGCACUGUUCUCCCGGGCGGUCAUCCAACGAACAGGUCCUUACGGAGAGGCACUCGAGAAACUGCUCGAGCCCCCUUAAAUUCCAUAAGUAUAUCAUCAUAAAUAAGAAGGGAAACAAUGUAUCAUAGAUAAAUCUCAUCAUAUUCAUUAAUUAAUGUUAAGCACUAGCAUAAAGCUAAACCAUAAUAAUCCAACCCAAAUAGGUAAGCAAGGACAUGAAUAACAAAAGCUAGUCAAUCUUUAGGUAUAACUGUGUAAAUGCGGGAAGUGAAUUAUAGAAUUGUAUAGGACAUAGUUGGGUCAAGGGACACUUGCCUCCACCAACCAGCUACUGCUCAGGGGCUUCUCCUGCGAGUUCUUCGGACUCCUCAACCAGACCGUUUUCUAUGCGAGCGCAAACAUACAUCCAUCCAUUUGAAUUAGGAAAUAAACAGUACACCAUACUAGAGAGCAGAUAAACUGAAUAUGCAUAAGAUAUGACAUACGGUUUUGCAUUCGCAACUGCUAGAAAAGGAAGAAGGAAGGUCUUGCAGUGGUCAAAGCUAUAAUCGAAGCGUAUUACGGGUAGAUGUAUAAUUAAUCAUUGCUUCAUCUAGUUCUAUCUAGUUAUACUAACAAGUAUUAAUAACAUGUGCUACUAGAGUUAUAACUAUUUCCAAUUGGUUGACAUUAAACAAAGUCAAUGAUUAACUACAUGAAAUAACUAACGUAAUCAAUUUCUGAGUUGAGUUUCCAUUUCAUUAAUAUAAAUAACAUGAUCAAUGCGCAUAAAAUACACGGGGGGUAGACAUGCACGUCCAGGGGUAGACGAGCACGUCACCCACGACAGGACGCUACGCGUCGUGCCGUGUGACAGCCCUCCCAAGUUAUCAGGCCCACAUGCACCAAUCCUUGCCUUAAUGGCCUCAGAUGGAUGUGCACGUGUACCGGGUAACUUAACAAGGCUAUCGAGUUCGCCAACUGGAACUCAUCAUCCCAAGGAUCUCCCACAUAACAGGUAUAUUACAGUAAUCACAUUUGAUACACACACAUUGGAGAUAGAGCGGAAGACUUUCACAAAGUACACUUUACAUUCCAGAACUCAAGUUUUACAUGGUAGAAAGCGAUGUAUUUAUUACAAGUCCUGAUAGUACUCGAAGGGCAUAACUUAACUACAAUAAUUGGAAGGGUGAAGCCUUUCCAUAAGAGAUAUAUAUAAAAACCUUCUAAGCUUCAAGUCCUCCACAUGAAGUAACUAACCCAAAGAUAGGGGAAUAAAACUUCUCCUACAAAAACAACAAGGGAUAAAACCCUGAGUAUGCAAUUACUCAGCAAGACUUACCCGACUAAAGAAAAGACUCUCAAGGAUAUGCUGGUUUGUUGGGAAUCAAGGUAAGGCUUGUCAAAUUUCAAAGACUCAUUUUGCAGAAGAGCUUACUAGUAGUGAAUCUUUAUGCCAAACUUUUACUUCACAAGUUAAUUAUUUUUCCUGAAUCUAGAUUUGCCUAAUCUAGAGCAUUCACUUGUCCUAUACUAGCUUCCUUUCAACCAAACCACAAUCAUGUUUCACUUAUUAAACUACGAUGCAGGGCAGUGAUCCAGUCUUCAUAUCCGAGAAGUACGAUGAUCCGAACCGAUUAAUACCCAGCUGGGGAUCUCCAACCACACGACAUAUGUAGCACUUAACCCUUGCAUAUGUCAACCAUUCCCAUGGAUCCUCCACUACAUGAACAGGUCCGCGCUACCCGGGAGCACAUUACCCUACCAUCCAGCCUCUUGCCAGGAGGAUAACUGCUACUCCCACCAUCUCCCACGCCCAGUGCGCGGUUGUCUUUUCACGUAUGGAAUAGCCGGGUUCAGGCUUACCCAUGGUGAGGUAUGUGGCCAGUUAAAGGGUCCUAGAUCAGCAGGCCAACAAUCGGUACGGUCCUUAAUCGACUCAGACGAAGACACUACAUCGAGACUCCUUUCUCGUGCAAGUCAACUGCCCGAUCUCAGCUUUAUUAUUUUCAACCCAAAGUUUGGUACCUGGCAGAGGUACAUCUUUUCCGACGUUGAACCCAUCCCGGCCGUGAUGGAUCCACCAUCAAGUUUUAUUUUUGAAAACUUCCCACCCACUGAAGCAUCACUUUUGUUUUAAAACAAAACAUUUUUGUUUGCUAAAGCAAGGCUAAGCAUCAUAAAAUUCUUUUCAAAACGGGUAUCAAGGAAGGGUAAUCAAUUUCAAGGAAGGAAAUGCAUCAACGGUUUAGCACACAACUCCUAUCACCUAAUGCAUCAAUCAAGUGAGAAAGAUUUUAAAAUAGCAAGGAGGUGACAAAUGCACCAGGGCUUGCCUUACUACAGGAGGAAAUAUGAUAUCUUCUAUUACGAUAAGCAGUUAGAUGGAAUCCACCACUGGAUCAGUAGAACUGGAACAGGCUCCUUCACAAAUCACUUCUUCUUGGUACUCUACAUGAAAUGCCAUGAUUAUGAAUGCCUGUGUAUAUGCUACUAGCAAGGAAAGUAUUACGAAGCACUACAAAAUUACAAUUACAAGCUAUCACCACAAGCCAUAACUACCAGGGAGCUAUUUACUGAACUUCAAUACUCUACACAAACGCAGAACGAUGGCGCUGGCCACCCGAAUUUCUUGACUAAAAACCACAUCAAAUUACAAUCCUAGAAGUUCCAAUCAGAUUUUCUCUCAUCUCCCUAUGCUGGCUUGAUACACUUUCUUACUAGGAGUUGCUCUUCUAUGAUCACUCUCCAACUUUACUUUAAAGGAUACUAGCUAAAACUCAACAGGCUUCAGGUUAGAGAGCUCCAAAGUUGGAACUCCACGAAACUACACAAUUCAGCUAACUGAACUAAAUUCAGCACCCUCUACCUAACAGAGCAACUUGGAAUAAUCUUUUCUCUCAAUUCAAAGCAAGGAUAGGGAGAUCCUUCUUAAAAGAAAUUGCUCCCCAAUAUUAGAUCUUCAAGUUUACUGCAAUGAUCAUCCACCAAAACUUCAAGAAUUGAGACUUAGAAGGGUUCAAAACUGAGAGGAAUUCACAGUUUCUAAAAAUUCAGCAAACUGAAUUACGUUUUAGAUUCUGAAACUGAACUCUACACCAAACUGAACCCCCACCUGUAACUCCAUUACUCCUCACAAUUCCAAACAAUAAUAGGCCAACCUUGACUAAUAAAAUUUGUUUACCACACAUAUCUGUACAAGUUUGCUGCAGCAGCCUUAGGUCAAAGAAUCAUGGAUCAAGAGUUAUAGUGCUCCAAAAAUGGGUUGAGAACACAUAAAAUUCUGUUUCAGCUGACUGAAACUAUAUACCUGUCAGUGAAAGUUUUGAGACGUUUUAUCCAAUUUUUUUACACAGCAGCAAUACCAAUGCUUCACUGACCUUUGAAGACCACGGAACGAAGACCACACGGGCAUGCAACUCACUGGAACGCUUUGGCCACAGCGAGGUGGGAGGUUUCGGUGGGUGUGGUCACCAGACAAUAGGGUUGGCAGGCGCAGCACAAAGGCAGAACAACCUAGUGACUGAGAAGAGGAGCUAACACUGGUUUGAACACAGGAACUACCUCGAUCUCGUGAGGAACACUGGCUAGAACUCGAGGGCAAGGAAAAGCUCCACUAGACCAAGCUCUGCAGUACACAGGAUAAGAGGACAGAGGCAUCGAGCUCAGCCAUAUCUUGGUGAAGAAGGGCCCCAAGGGUGCCAGCACCUCAUGGGAGAGCACACGUGGCCAACAAGCACAAAUACCAGGCCAGCUCACAAACU
rnacentral:lncRNA from 1 species